rnacentral:rRNA from 1 species
GUGGGGAAUCUUAGACAAUGGGCGCAAGCCUGAUCUAGCCAUGCCGCGUGAGCGAUGAAGGCCUUAGGGUUGUAAAGCUCUUUCGUGGGGGAAGAUAAUGACUGUACCCCAAGAAGAAGCCCCGGCUAACUCCGUGCCAGCAGCCGCGGUAAUACGGAGGGGGCUAGCGUUGUUCGGAAUUACUGGGCGUAAAGCGCACGUAGGCGGACUGGAAAGUCAGGGGUGAAAUCCCGGGGCUCAACCCCGGAACUGCCUUUGAAACUCCCAGUCUUGAGUUCGAGAGAGGUGAGUGGAAUUCCGAGUGUAGAGGUGAAAUUCGUAGAUAUUCGGAGGAACACCAGUGGCGAAGGCGGCUCACUGGCUCGAUACUGACGCUGAGGUGCGAAAGCGUGGGGAGCAAACAGGAUUAGAAACCCGUGUAGUCC